rnacentral:rRNA from 1 species
AGGAUGAACGCUGGCGGCGUGCCUAAUACAUGCAAGUCGAGCGGUAAGGCCACUUCGGUGGUACACGAGCGGCGGACGGCUGAGUAACACGUAGGAACGUACCCCAAAGUGAGGCAUAAGCACCAGAAAUGGUGUCUAAUACCGCAUGUGGCCUAACAGGCUAAAGCUCCGGCGCUUUGGGAACGGCCUGCGCAUGAUUAGCUUGUUGGUGAGGUAAAAGCUCACCAAGGCGACGACGGGUA